AUGGGGAGGGCUUUCAUCCUCGCCGCCGCUUUCUUCGCGUUGGGAGGUGCAUGGCCACGGCUUCCCUCUUCCGAAGCGGUGCUGAAGCAUGGCGUCCCCUCUCCCCCGGAGCCGGAGACAACGCUGCUGCAAGGCGUCGAAGCGGCGCUUGCGCGCGGCAACUUCUCUCUGCCGGAAACAGCGGUCCUACACGGCCACGGCGUCCCUUCUUCCACACCACCGGAAGCAGGGUCGCCGGCUCUGCUGCAUCGGUUCAACAGUUCCAAUCCAAAAGUGACGGCGGAUGAAGGUGGAAUGCUCGGACUCGGAGAUGGAAAGGUUGCGCCGCCGGUGGUGAAGCGCAGGCGAAAGGUUUUCCAGGCCAGCAAUGGAGAUGCAUCACCACCACCACCACCCCCAACCCAUGGGAGGAGAGAAAGACUAAAAAAGUCCUAA
rnacentral:rRNA from 1 species